GGCAAAUCCCCCAUAAUUACGGGUUAAUUAGAUUUUUAAUUUUUUUUAAAUGAAAAAAUAAACUAUCUUUAUUUUUAAUUACAUGUUUUUUCAUUGAUUUUUCCUUUUUUUUUUCAAGCUUUUUUCUUUUUCUUUACCUUCUCUUCUUUCUUGCUGGUCUACACAUCAGUUUCUUCGAUUUGUUGAUCUAACCUUUACUCUCUGGAUCUUUCCCUUCAAUGGCCACUGAAGAUCCUGGAGAGAGAAACCAAAUUAGCCAAAGUAAAGUGAGUGGCUUCGUAGUGAAUUAUAUCAGUUUUUGAUGAAUUAAUUGCUAAAGGGCCUAACUUUGGCGAGGAAUUUUUUUGGGGGGGUGUUUUUAUCUAGUCUGAGGUUUGUGGGUCGGGUUUGAUUUGUUUGGAUUUGAUAUGGGUGGGUGUUUUCCUUGUUUUGGAUCAUCAAACAAGGAGGGCAGUGGUGGUGGUGCUGCCGUCAAAGAAGUGGCUAAGAAGGAUUCGGUCAAAGAAGGCUCAGUUGCUCAGUCUCACCAUGUUAGUAGAGUUAGCUCAGACAAAUCAAAAUCCCGAAAUGGUUCUGAUCCUAAGAAGGAGCCAGCAAUUCCUAAAGAUGGACCAACUGCCAAUAUUGCAGCACAAACAUUUACAUUCAAAGAGCUUGCUGCUGUGACGAAGAACUUCAGACCAGAGUGUCUGUUGGGUGAAGGGGGAUUUGGGCGUGUUUACAAAGGGUAUUUGGAGAGCACUGGACAGGUGGUUGCUGUAAAACAGCUCGAUCGGAAUGGACUUCAAGGAAACAGGGAAUUUCUUGUUGAGGUUCUCAUGCUUAGCCUCUUGCACCAUACCAACCUCGUUAAUUUGAUUGGUUAUUGUGCUGAUGGGGAUCAGCGCCUCCUCGUUUAUGAGUUUAUGCCAUUGGGAUCGUUAGAGGAUCACUUACAUGAUCUUCCACCAGACAAGGAGCCUCUGGACUGGAACACAAGGAUGAAGAUUGCAGCUGGUGCAGCUAAGGGGUUGGAGUACUUGCAUGACAAAGCAAGUCCACCUGUCAUUUACCGAGAUUUGAAGUCGUCCAACAUCCUUCUUGAUGAGGGCUAUCACCCCAAGUUAUCAGAUUUUGGACUUGCAAAGUUGGGUCCUGUUGGUGAUAAAACCCAUGUCUCUACACGUGUGAUGGGAACGUAUGGUUAUUGUGCCCCUGAAUAUGCUAUGACUGGUCAACUUACUUUAAAAUCCGAUGUCUAUAGCUUUGGAGUUGUCUUUCUUGAACUCAUCACUGGGCGCAAGGCCAUCGAUAAUACCCGGGCUCCUGGAGAGAAUAAUCUUGUUGCAUGGGUGAGUCUUAUUUGCCCUUUCAUCUUCAUUAGGAAACACUUCUGAUAAUUCUAUUAAACUAUUACUGCAUUAUGGCAUUUUCCCUUUUUUUCUCCUUUCCUUUUCUUUUUAAAUGUUGAACUAACAUGAAACAAGAUUUCUUUUUUUUUUUCCCCUCGUUACUGUUGGACAUGGGAUCUUUUAGGCGCGGCCGCUUUUCAAGGAUCGUAGGAAGUUCCCCAAAAUGGCUGAUCCAUUGCUUCAAGGGCGUUAUCCAAUGCGAGGAUUGUAUCAAGCUCUUGCAGUUGCAGCCAUGUGCUUGCAAGAACAAGCAGCCACGAGACCUCUAAUAGGCGAUGUGGUGACUGCACUCACGUACUUAGCUUCCCAAACAUAUGACCCUAAUGCUGCCAAUCAAAGUAACAGAAUUGGGCCAUCUACUCCUAGGAACAGGGACGAUCCAAGGGGGAUGGCAGGUGGGCUGCAUAGCCCAGAUGAACAUGGACAUGAUGGACAGCAUGGUUCUCCUUCUACUCACAAAAAUUCACCUGAUUAUAGAAGGCGUGAUACUGUCUGGGAAUUAAGCAAUGGCGCAGAGUUACGAAGGAGUGAUGCCAGUGGUGGGUCUAGUCGAAAAUGGGGUUUGGAUGACUCUGAGCAACAGGACUCUCAAAGAGAUAAUCCAGUAAAUAACUGUAGAGCAAGGGAAACUUCAAGGAAUCGUGAUUUAGAUAGAGAGCGUGCAGUUGCAGAUGCAAAAGUUUGGGGUCAAAAUUGGAGGGAGAAAAAGCGGGCAAAUGCAAUGGGUAGCUUUAAUGGUACAAAUGAGUAAGAUUGCAGUAGAAGCCCAAUUCAUGUUACUUUCUUUGGUUUGGGCAAUAUAUGUUGUAUGCUUCCAAGGAAAGAAAAGCUGCAUAUACAGCAUCCAUAACCGUCUCGGUUUCUAUUUCCACUCAGGGAAUAACACUACUUGUAUCCAACUUAGACUGCUGUUGUUUUGUCCUAUUUCAUUCUUGCAGUCUGAGUAUGAAAUUGAGUGCUUCAAUUAUACGGUUGAAGGAAGGAGAAAAGAGAGUUCAAAAGAAGGGUGUUCAGGGCAAGAGGGUAAACAUUUGGUUUCAGGCAUUUAAAGGAAACCUCACUGCAGAAUUGAUGUAUGCAACAUGUUAAUCUAUGUAUUUAGGGUUUUUUCUUUUUUUUCUCUUUUCUUUUUGAAGUUGUUGUCACAGAUGGAAGAUAGCUAAUUUUUGCCCCGUGUAUUUGUCCUAAAAUGUGGGGAGACUUGGUGGAUUUGGUGUGGGUGUGUCGUUGGUGUCCAUCUUGUACUCGUAAGUACGGUCUUGUGUAUGGAUUUUCCAGAGACGAUGAUGUUUCGGCUUAUACAGGAAGUUUUCAUGAUAUUCUUCUCCAUAUCUCAUCAUGUUACUCUCUCCUUUAUUUUUCUGUGUCCCUAUUCAUGAUGUUCUUCAAUUAAACCAUCUUACCCAGUGAGAAUUCAUUGUUAUCACUUAGCCAAUUACAAUACAAAAAGAAAAAGAUGAAAAAGAA
rnacentral:misc_RNA from 1 species